rnacentral:rRNA from 1 species
UACGUAGGUGACAAGCGUUGUCCGGAUUUACUGGGCGUAAAGAGCGCGCAGGCGGUCGAUCAAGUCGAGUGUGAAAGCCCCCGGCUCAACUGGGGAGGGUCAUUCGAUACUGAUCGACUCGAAGGCAGGAGAGGGUAGUGGAAUUCCCGGUGUAGUGGUGAAAUGCGUAGAUAUCGGGAGGAACACCAGUGGCGAAGGCGACUACCUGGCCUGUUCUUGACGCUGAGGCGCGAAAGCUAGGGGAACAAACGGG